CCGCCCGGGGACACCGAGGGGAGGCGGCGCGGGGAGAGGGUGGCAGGACCGCGGCUGGCCCGAGGAUGCGGGAUCGGGGAUAUCCCGGGGACGGAGAGAGGAUAGAGAGGGAGAAGAACCGGGGUGGGGGGAACACACACGAGCGAGCCCCCUCCCCACCUACCCCGCAAGCCGCCGCCCCCAUCGCGCYGCCGCGGGGGUCCUCUCGCCCCCUCCCCCGGUGCGGGGCGAGGGGCGCUUCUCCCCCCCCCUUCCCGGGGGUACGGGACCCCCCAGCCCCGCGGGUGCGGGGGCCGCAGGUUCCUCCCCCCGGUGUCCGGGGGGCUGCGGGGAUCGGGGGUCCCGGGAAGGGGGGGGUGGGGGGCGUCCCCCGCCCCUCCGCUCCCUUCCGGGAGCAGCGAGUUCARCCAAUCAUCGCCUCGCACUGCAGUGACGUCACGAUGAUGUCAUUCUCGCGGGAAAAUCAAGCGUGGCGGGGAUGCCCUUCUCACCCUGUCCUUAUCAGAGAGACCAGAGACCUGUUUGUACCAAAGGGGUUUAUUUGCAUGUAAAUAAACAUGUUCUCUGCAAUAUUUCCAAAAAAGUUGAAAUACCACUUUCCGGCCAAAAAACUGCCGCGGGAGCCGCGAUAUUUACAAUAACAGCGAUUUUUUUUCCACCCAGGGAUUUAUGUACAUCAUGAUAAUCGAGGAAAAGAACCAGUUUCUUUUAAUCUCCGUGUUCACUUCACCCACCUGAGAUUAAAAGCAGGAAAACACGGCUCUGGCUAAGACCAAGUCCAGGRAGCCAUCCUGUGGGAUUCCCAGCCUGGAUUCCACUUGAAAGUGCUUCUCUUGGAAGGCUGGUAGUGCCCUCGCACAACUCGGAACGGUUCAAAGGGCUUUUUGUCAAAAAAACAAAAAAAAAAGAAUUAAAUAAAUCGGGAGAGUGGGGCAGGCAGGAGGCUGAGCCGGCAUCGUUCCCAACGCAGCCACCAGAGYGGGGUCUCCAGCUAAAUUCCUCUGGGAUUGCAUUCCUGACAUCCUCUUCGUAGCACCCCGCAGUCACACGAUUCCAACGCUGCGUGAGACAACAGCAUUUGCUCCAGGGACCACAAGAUCAGCCCGGAGAGGAUGCCUGAGUCAUGCUCCUAAUUCCAGCCAAAAGGGGAAAAUCCAUCUUGUAAGGAAAUGAACACUUCUGCUGCAACUCUGAUCCCAGCUGAGCCACUCAGGGACCCUGGUGCCAAGCAGGACACGGCUCCUUUGGCCGGACAAUCCUCGCCAGGGCAGCGCCCGUGUUUGUGUGACCACAAUUCCCAGCCGAGCAGCACGAGGAGAUUCCAGGGAAGCUCUUUAGUGCAGACAGGAGUCCCUUUUUCCACUGGGAUUUGUUGGAAAUUCACCACGCUGGAAUGUCACCAAAGCUGCCCAAACCCACGGGCUCUACCCAAACUCCCUUCUGGGGAAACAAGGAGCAYGAGGCGUUCCCACAGGGAAGUGAAUAAAUAGUUAAAACAAAAGGGAAGGCAAACCCAAGGCAGCAGCAAUCCUUCAAUCCUGUGACCUGGGAUAAAAUCCUGAUUUCCAUGAGGACACAGCACCCGGCUCGUGCCAGAGGCAUUGAAUGAAGGAAUGCCGCGGGAAUAAAAUAAAUUAAAAACCUCACGUUUUUCCUUCUUCCAAAGAAUUAAAACCCAAGCCUAAAACGUUUCCUAAAAUACUUGAAAACUUCCUACAUCCGAAAGGAGCUUAUCCUGAAUGGGAAGAGGGCCAAGGGACUGGGAUCUCCCAGACCAGCCUAUGUCUGUUUGUUCCCACAUUCCCACACUUGGCUUCACCCCCAUUAAYUCCAACAGGGAUGAUAAUACUCAGAAAUUCAGGAAGAAUGGAAGUGCCCACAGGAUGAAGGCCACAGGCAGGGACCUGGCUGCUGGCACUCACACCUUCUGCACAGACCUUGGAGAUCCGAAAAUUUUGGAAAUAUCAUGGAAAUAC